rnacentral:rRNA from 1 species
UACGUAGGGUGCGAGCGUUGUCCGGAAUUAUUGGGCGUAAAGGGCUCGUAGGCGGUUUGUCGCGUCGGGAGUGAAAACCCAGGGCUUAACCCUGGGCUGGCUUCCGAUACGGGCAGACUAGAGGUAUGCAGGGGAGAACGGAAUUCCUGGUGUAGCGGUGAAAUGCGCAGAUAUCAGGAGGAACACCGGUGGCGAAGGCGGCCUGCUGGGCAGUUGCUGACACUGAGGCGCGACAGCGUGGGGAGCAAACAGG